rnacentral:rRNA from 1 species
GAUGAACGCUAGCGGCAGGCCUAACACAUGCAAGUCGAGGGGCAGCACAGGUAGCAAUACUGGGUGGCGACCGGCGGAUGGGUGCGUAACGCGUAUGCAACCUACCAUUGAUUGGGGCAUAGCCCGAAGAAAUUCGGAUUAAUACUCCAUAAUAUUCAUCAAAGGCAUCUUUUAUGGAUUAAAGCUUUUGCGAUCAAUGAUGGGCAUGCGUGACAUUAGUUAGUUGGUGAGGUAACGGCUCACCAAAACGAUGAUGUCUAGGGGUUCUGAGAGGAUUAUCCCCCACACUGGUACUGAGACACGGACCAGACUCCUACGGGAGGCAGCAGUGAGGAAUAUUGGUCAAUGGACGCAAGUCUGAACCAGCCAUGCCGCGUGCAGGAUGACGGCCCUAUGGGUUGUAAACUGCUUUUCCACGGGAAGAACCCUCCGACGUGUCGGAGACUGACGGUACCGUGGGAAUAAGCAUCGGCUAACUCCGUGCC